CCAGCAUCAAUGUCAGCCUCAGAACAAUCUUUUUCUUGAACAGGAUUUCCGGAUGACCAUGAAACUACUAGUCCUAGUGGUGUGCCUGAUUGGACUGUGUUCCUCCAUUCCUGUGUCUAAGAAACAUGAUAGAGAGGAGCGCUCUUCGAGUCAUGAGGGGUAUAGGGGUUUUGGGGGGUUCUACCCCUAUCCUCAGUACUUCCCACCAGCUCCCCAGGGUGACUCUGACCUCAUGGCCCUGCUGCCCUUGCUAUUGGCAAGACCAGUUCCUGCACCAGUCCCUGCCCCACCUGCCCCAUCUAUCCUAUCUUACUUAACUUCCUUUCUUGGAAGGUAAUAGAAAUUAGAUGGUCUUUGAUGGAAGACUGGCUAGAAAAUUUACUACAAUGUCAACUCUACUGCAAAGCUAAGAAUUCCACUAAAAAUAAAUAAAUACAAUUUAGACUGCUCUUCAUGGAUGAUUUUUGAAAGGAGUGGAGCAGCACUUCUCCCUUUUUUAUAUGUUGUGCUUUAUUUACGCAUUAGUAAAGUUGUGAUAAACAGAAAAGAUGGGUGUGUUAGCCAAAUGGCUAAAACCCAUAAUCCUGUGGCUGUACUCAGUUGGAAUAUACAAGCCACUUUUAAGUGUUUGUCUUUGUCUGUUCUGUUCUGUGCUUCACAGAAUUUAGAAACAAUUCUAUUUUAGAUGUUUUCAGAACAUGUCUAGACAUGAAACCUCUCAAACAUAAGUUUAAUGCUCUAAAACGUUUGCACCACAAAAAAGAAUAAAAGUUGGACAGUUCGACUAUGUAAAUGUAAAUUAAAUAAUUGCAAUAAUAAUUUGUAUACAGUUAAUAGAUAAUUUAUAUUAUUACAAAAUGCAACUGUCAUCAAAAGAUGACCAUUACGAUCUGCCAGAACAUUAGUUGUUGUAUAACAACCUGAAUUACUGAGAAGUUGAAAACAUGAGUGGACAUGAAACUCAGGUGUGGGCUCUACAAUGUUCAAACAAGAUUGAGAAGAAAUUGCCAUUACUAGGUGAACAGGAAUGACACUGAAGACCUGUCAUGACACUGUGGUAUACUGGUGCAAUAUGAAGCAAUAUAUCAUUAUUGACAUAUAAUGAAUGUAGUUUUUGAGAGAUUAAAUUUUUUAUCGUUAACACAAACAGAUGUUUUAGGUCAUUUUGAGCCUUUUGUGUAGUAUGACUUUAGAUAGAAUUUACAUGUCAAAGAGUCACACAAUAAUGAGGACACACAAU